rnacentral:rRNA from 1 species
GAUGAACGCUAGCUAUAGGCUUAACACAUGCAAGUCGAGGGACCGGCGCACGGGUGAGUACCGCGUAUCCAACCUACCCAUAACUAAGGGAUAACCCAGCGAAAGUUGGACUAAUACCUUAUGGUUAUGGUUGGGGAUGCGUCUGAUUAGAUUGUUGGCGGGGUAACGGCCCAACAAGGCAACGAUCAGUAGGGGUUCUGAGAGGUAUGUCCCGCAGAUUGUAAAUGAGACACGGUCCAAACUCCUACCGGAGGAAGCAGUGAGGAAUAUUGGUCAAUGGACGGAAGUCUGAGCCAGCCACGUAGCGUGCAGGAUGCCGGCCAAUGGGGUGUAAACUGCUUUUAUAUGGGGAUAGGUACCAUAUGAAUAAGGACCGGCUAAUUCCGUGCCAGCAGCCGCGGUAAUUC